rnacentral:tRNA from 1 species
UAAAGUAGAGCUUGGUGUUAAGCGUUUCAUUUACAAUGAAGGGUUCAUUUUCGAAAAUGUACUUUAA